AAUUCGCCCUUAGAGUUUGAUCAUGGCUCAGAUUGAACGCUGGCGGCAUGCCUUACACAUGCAAGUCGAACGGUAACGCGGGGCAGCCUGGCGACGAGUGGCGAACGGGUGAGUAAUAUAUCGGAACGUGCCCAGUCGUGGGGGAUAACUGCUCGAAAGAGCAGCUAAUACCGCAUACGACCUGAGGGUGAAAGCGGGGGAUCUUCGGACCUCGCGCGAUUGGAGCGGCCGAUAUCAGAUUAGGUAGUUGGUGGGGUAAAGGCCUACCAAGCCGACGAUCUGUAGCUGGUCUGAGAGGACGACCAGCCACACUGGGACUGAGACACGGCCCAGACUCCUACGGGAGGCAGCAGUGGGGAAUUUUGGACAAUGGGGGCAACCCUGAUCCAGCCAUGCCGCGUGCGGGAAGAAGGCCUUCGGGUUGUAAACCGCUUUUGUCAGGGAAGAAAUCCUUUGGGCUAAUAACUCGGAGGGA
rnacentral:rRNA from 1 species